rnacentral:rRNA from 1 species
GUCGAACGGUAACAGGAAGCAGCUUGCUGCUUUGCUGACGAGUGGCGGACGGGUGAGUAAUGUCUGGGAAACUGCCUGAUGGAGGGGGAUAACUACUGGAAACGGUGGCUAAUACCGCAUAACGUCGCAAGACCAAAGAGGGGGACCUUCGGGCCUCUUGCCAUCAGAUGUGCCCAGAUGGGAUUAGCUUGUUGGUGAGGUAACGGCUCACCAAGGCGACGAUCCCUAGCUGGUCUGAGAGGAUGACCAGCCACACUGGAACUGAGACACGGUCCAGACUCCUACGGGAGGCAGCAGUGGGGAAUAUUGCACAAUGGGCGCAAGCCUGAUGCAGCCAUGC